rnacentral:rRNA from 1 species
UACGUAGGUGGCAAGCGUUGUUCGGAUUCAUUGGGCGUAAAGGGUGCGUAGGCGGCGCGGUAAGUCGGGUGUGAAAUCUCGGAGCUUAACUCCGAAACUGCAUUCGAUACUGCCGUGCUUGAGGACUGGAGAGGAGACUGGAAUUCCUGGUGUAGCAGUGAAAUGCGUAGAUAUCAGGAGGAACACCGAUGGCGAAGGCAGGGUCUCUGGGCUGACACUGACGCUCAUGCACGAAAGCGUGGGGGAGCAA